rnacentral:rRNA from 1 species
CCUACGGGAGGCAGCAGUGAGGAAUAUUGGUCAAUGGACGAGAGUCUGAACCAGCCAAGUAGCGUGAAGGAUGAAUGCCCUAUGGGUUGUACACUUCUUUUAUAUGGGAAUAAAACGUUCCAUGUGUGGGAUUUUGUAUGUACCAUAUGAUUACGGCUCGGCUAAUUCCGUGCCAGCAGCCGCGGUAAUACGGAGGAUCCGAGCGUUAUCCGGAUUUAUUGGGUUUAAAGGGAGCGUAGGUGGAUUGUUAAGUUAGUUGGGAAAGUUUGCGGAUCAACCGUAAAAUUGCAGUUGAAACUGGCAGUCGUGAGUAUAGUAGAGGUGGGCGGAAUUCGUGGUGUAGCGGUGAAAUGCUUAGAUAUCACGAAGAACUCCGAUUGCGAAGGCAGUUCACUGGACUGCAACUGACACUGAGGCUCGAAAGUGUGGGUAUCAAACAGGAUUAGAUACCCCAGUAGUC